rfam:Stegodyphus mimosarum contig69608, whole genome shotgun sequence.
AAACAUUCUCUAGACCCAAUAAAAAGAUUUUCUGUUCUUAUCAGCUUAAUAUCUGAUACGACAUCCAUCGGGUGUCAAGAUAUUAAACUAAUUUUUGCAGAUAGGCUUGUGGUUAGGAAUUUAUUCCGCCCUCGCCACGGGUUGGCCUGCUAUUGCACUAUUUGCAGGAUACGGCCCACUCUUU